UUGCUCCCAUUUCUCAGCGGCGGACGGGUGAGUAACACGUGGGCAACCUGCCCUACAGACUGGGAUAACUCCGGGAAACCGGAGCUAAUACCGGGUAAUACAUAGCAUCGCAUGAUGCAACGUUGAAAGUUGGCCUUUGGCUAACACUGUAGGAUGGGCCCGCGGCGCAUUAGCUAGUUGGUAAGGUAACGGCUUACCAAGGCCACGAUGCGUAGCCGACCUGAGAGGGUGAUCGGCCACACUGGGACUGAGACACGGCCCAGACUCCUACGGGAGGCAGCAGUAGGGAAUCUUCCGCAAUGGACGAAAGUCUGACGGAGCAACGCCGCGUGAGUGACGAAGGCCUUCGGGUCGUAAAGCUCUGUUGUUAGGGAAGAACAAGUACCGUUCGAAUAGGGCGGUACCUUGACGGUACCUAACCAGAAAGCCACGGCUAACUACGUGCCAGCAGCCGCGGUAAUACGUAGGUGGCAAGCGUUGUCCGGAAUUAUUGGGCGUAAAGCGCGCGCAGGCGGUCUCUUAAGUCUGAUGUGAAAGCCCACGGCUCAACCGUGGAGGGCCAUUGGAAACUGGGGGACUUGAGUGCAGAAGAGGAGAGUGGAAUUCCACGUGUAGCGGUGAAAUGCGUAGAUAUGUGGAGGAACACCAGUGGCGAAGGCGGCUCUCUGGUCUGUAACUGACGCUGAGGCGCGAAAGCGUGGGGAGCGAACAGGAUUAGAUACCCUGGUAGUCCACGCCGUAAACGAUGAGUGCUAGGUGUUGGGGGGGUUCCACCCUCAGUGCUGAAGUUAACACAUUAAGCACUCCGCCCGGGGGAGUACGACCGCAAGGUUGAAACUCAAAGGAAUUGACGGGGGCCCGCACAAGCAGUGGAGCAUGUGGUUUAAUUCGAAGCAACGCG
rnacentral:rRNA from 1 species